rnacentral:rRNA from 1 species
GAUGAACGCUGGCGGCGUGCCUAAUACAUGCAAGUCGAGCGAAUGGAUUAAGAGCUUGCUCUUAUGAAGUUAGCGGCGGACGGGUGAGUAACACGUGGGUAACCUGCCCAUAAGACUGGGAUAACUCCGGGAAACCGGGGCUAAUACGGGAUAACAUUUUGAACCGCAUGGUUCGAAAUUGAAAGGCGGCUUCGGCUGGCACUUAUGGAUGGACCCGCGUCGCAUUAGCUAGUUGGUGAGGUAACGGCUCACCAAGGCAACGAUGCGUAGGCGACCUGAGAGGGUGAUCGGCCACACUGGGACUGAGACACGGCCCAGACUCCUACGGGAGGCAGCAGUAGGGAAUCUUCCGCAAUGGACGAAAGUCUGACGGAGCAACGCCGCGUGAGUGAUGAAGGCUUUCGGGUCGUAAAACUCUGUUGUUAGGGAAGAACAAGUGCUAGUUGAAUAAGCUGGCACCUUGACGGUACCUAACCAGAAAGCCACGGCUAACUACGUGCCAGCCGCCGCCGUAA